UCCUGGGUGGCUCAGUUGGUAAAGCAUGAGACUCUUGAUCUCAGGGUCAUGGGUUCAAGCCCCAUGCUGGACA